rnacentral:lncRNA from 1 species
AUGCAACUGAGUCUUACAGGGGUAACAUUUUGCUCUUGGCAGAAUCUAGGGGCCAGGAACCACAUUUCUUUGGGGCAAAGAAUAUACGUGGGGCCGGGACUAGCUAAAUGUGCCACAGGUGAAUUCUCAUUUCAUUCAAACCGGGGUCAAUUUGUGUAUUCACUCAAGAAGAAUGUGACUGUAAGUGGGAGGUGGGAAGGUUCUGGUUUCUGGAGACUGGCCAGACUUCGAGAUGAAAUAAGAGAAUCUAUUUCGUCUGAUUUGUUGCCCACACUCCCUAGAGAAGAACGUAGCUCGGGUCUCUGACGUCUACCCACCAUGAACCCCCAAGGACUUAUUGUCAUGCUCUUUUAAUAAGGUCAGUCUAUUACAUGUCAAUCAAGCUGUCUGACGUGAAGAUGCUUCUAGGCAGUUAUCGCGCAUAGUAUUAAGGCACGGACGGUUUCCUUAGCUCUGAAUCAACCCGUUAAGGAAUAACGCCUUGAAAAUGCAGACAAUUUUUGUUGUUCGACCAUCACCCUUAGUGUUUUCUUUCCGACGUGUCUUUGUGGUUCCCGUGUGGUGUCCUGGGUCUGUCACGCUCUAUCUGGAGGAUAAACUAAGGGCAUCUUACAUGCGCUUUUAUAUUCUGGGUUAAAAACUCAAAAAUUUUACCUAUCUUCACUAAUCAGUGGAAGAUCCUAAGACCCUGGAGAUCAUGAAGCUCCAAUAGUCAAGACGGGUCAUUCAAUACAUAAGCCUUGGUCAAUAAUGCAUCCAGGGGCGCCAGGGUGGCUCAGUCGGUUGAGCGACCAACUCUGGCUCAGGUCACGAUCUCCCGGUCCGUGAGUUCGAGCCCCGCGUCGGGCUCUGUGCUGACAGCUCGGAGCCUGGAGCCUGCUUGGGAUUCUGUGUCUCUCUCGCUCUCUGCCCCACCCCCACUCACGCUCUGUCUCUCUCUCUCUCUCUCUCUCUCAAAAAUGAAAAAAAAAAAAACCUUAAAAGAAUUAAAAAAGAAAAAGACUGUCAGACUCUUUCAGCACAAGCUUGGCCCUCUAAAAAAACUAAAUAAUGCGUUCAUUCUGCCAACCUAUCGACAGGCACUUCCUAGCUGCAGGAUGCCGCGUGCUGGGUGAGGCUUUGGGCCUGGCAAGGUGAAUCAGAUCCCCUGAAUACAAAGAGCUUUGCAGCCACAGAGCAGCGUCCACGGGAAGUCAGAGGAGGGGGCCUCUUGCAGAAAUCCCCAGAGAGGGGGAAUACUGAUGUUGGUCCCGGAAGGAUGAGGAAGACCUUGGCAGGGAAGGUGUUCAGGGCAGGAAAGCUCUCG